rnacentral:rRNA from 1 species
CAGUAGCCGCGGUAAUACGAGGGGUGCAAGCGUUAUUCGGAUUGAUUGGGUGUAAUGGGUGUGCAGACGGCUUAUUAAGUCACUUGUUAAAUUCUUCGGCCUAACUGAAGGUCUGCAAGUGAUACUGAUGAGCUAGAGGGUGGAAGAGAGAAGUGGAAUUCUCGGAGUAGCGGUAAAAUGCGUAGAUCUCGAGAGGAACACCAAUGGCGAAGGCAGCUUCUUGGUCCAUUCCUGACGUUCGUACACGAAAGCGUGGGGAGCAAACAGGAUUAGAUACCCGCGUAGUCCCUGUCUCUUAUAA